GGGCGAUUAGCUCAGAUGGUUAGAGCGCUACACUGAUAAUGUAGAGGUCCCAAGUUCGAUUCUUGGAUCGCCCACUA
rnacentral:tRNA from 1 species